GCUUUCUUGUGGCUUGGUUGGUAGAGCAUUGCACUAAAAACGCAAAGGUUGUAGGUUUUAAUCCCAGAAAUGCA